rnacentral:misc_RNA from 1 species
AUAUAAAAUACAUAAGGGUCCUCGAAGCUGAAGCUGCGCGAACAGAGAAGGUUUACCCCGCAAUUGAAGCAGUUCGAAGCAUCACGGCCGGCAACUUUUUGUCCUCGUGGUAGCUGGAAAAUAAGAUUCCCACAGAUUCUUCGACGAUCACAUCUGUUUCUUAAUCUUCGGGCUCAGAGCUAUCCAGUCGUGGUUACUUGGCCAACCCACCGAUUGACGCGUUGCGGGCUGCCUAAUUGUCCUGUCGUUAUUUGGUUUCAGUUAACUUUGGAUUGUUAAUCAACGGACGAAGGAAGAGGAGAAGAAGAAGAAGAAGAAGAAGAGGAAGAGGUUAGCGAUUUUUCUUGAGACGGACAGAGCAGAGUCCUCGUGGAGACGCAAUCCUCGGAGCGGAACGAUUUCA